ACGCACGCUGGCGGCGUGCUUCACCCCUGCCAGUCGCACGGAAAGGCCCUGCUUGCAGGGUACUCGAGUGGCGAACGGGUGAGUAACACGUGGGUGAUCUGCCCUGCACUUCGGGAUAAGCCUGGGAAACUGGGUCUAAUACCGGAUAGGAGCCAUUUUUAGUGUGAUGGUUGGAAAGUUUUUUCGGUGUAGGAUGAGCUCGCGGCCUAUCAGCUUGUUGGUGGGGUAAUGGCCUACCAAGGCGGCGACGGGUAGCCGGCCUGAGAGGGUGGACGGCCACAUUGGGACUGAGAUACGGCCCAGACUCCUACGGGAGGCAGCAGUGGGGAAUAUUGCACAAUGGGCGCAAGCCUGAUGCAGCGACGCCGCGUGGGGGAUGACGGCCUUCGGGUUGUAAACUCCUUUCGCUAGGGACGAAGCUUUUUGUGACGGUACCUAGAGAAGAAGCACCGGCUAACUACGUG
rnacentral:rRNA from 1 species